UACGUAGGGUGCGAGCGUUAAUCGGAAUUACUGGGCGUAAAGCGUGCGCAGGCGGUUCGUUAAGUCAGAUGUGAAAGCCCCGGCUCAACCUGGGAAUUGCAUUUGUGACUGCACGGCUAGAGUGUGUCAGAGGGGGGUAGAAUUCCACGUGUAGCAGUGAAAUGCGUAGAGAUGUGGAGGAAUACCGAUGGCGAAGGCAGCCCCCUGGGAUAACACUGACGCUCAUGCACGAAAGCGUGGGGAGCAAACCAGG
rnacentral:rRNA from 1 species